GAGACCCAAUGGGGUCAACUGGAGACCCAACAGGGUCAAUGGGGUCAACUGGAGACCCAAUGGGGUCAACUGGAGACCCAAUGGGGUCAAAAAGGUCUACUGGAGACCAAAAGGGGUCAACUGGAGACCUAAUGAGGUCAACUGGAGACCCAACGGGGUCAACUGGGUCAACUGGAGACCCAAUGGGGUCAACUGGAGACCUAAUGGGGUCAACUGGAGACCUAAUGGGGUCAAUGGGGUCAACUGGAGACCCAAUGGGGUCAACUGGAGGCCCAAUGGGGUCAACUGGAGACCUAAGAGGGUCAAUGGGGUCAACUGAAGGCCUAAUGGGGUCAACUGGAGACCUAAAAGUGUCAAUGGGGUCAACUGGAGACCCAAUGAGGUCAACUGGAGACCCAACGAGGUCAAUGGGGUCAACUGGAGGCCCAAUGAGGUCAACUGGAGACCCAAUGGGGUCAACUGGGUCAACUGGAGACCCGACGAGGUCAACUGGAGACCCAACGAGGUCAACUGGGUCUACUGGAGACCCAACGGGGUCAACUGGAGACCUAAGAGGGUCAAUGGGGUCAACUGGAGACCCAAUGGGGUCAACUGGAGACCCAACAAGGUCAAUGGGGUCAACUGGAGACCCAACAGGGUCAACUGGAGACCUAAUGGGGUCAACUGGAGGUCUAAGAGGGUCAAUGGGGUCAACUGGAGACCUAAUGGGGUCAACUGGAGACCCAAUGAGGUCAACUGGAGACCCAACGAGGUCAACUGGAGACCUAAGAGGGUCAAUGGGGUCAACUGGAGACCCAAAGGGGUCAACUGGAGACCCAACGAGGUCAACUGGAGACCCAAGGAGCUCAAAACCCCCACCCACCUCCACCCACCCCACCCACCCCCUAACGGGACCAACCACGGGUCCACCCCACCCCCCCGCGGUGGACACCCCCCACGACCACCCCACCCCCCACCUCCUCCCACCCAACCCCAAAGCCCCUCACAUCGAAGAUCUCGAAGCCGGCGAUGUCCAGGACGCCGAUGAAGUACUGGCGGGGCUGCUUGGUCUCCAAGGAGUUGUUGAUCCUGGUGACCAUCCAGUUGAACAUCUUCUCGUAGACCGCCUUGGCCAAGGCCCCGAUGGAGUAGACCACCUGCUGGACGUUCUGGCCCUUGGUCACGUACUCGUUGCCCACCUUCACCCGCGGGUGGCACAGGCCCUUCAGGAGGUCGGCCGAGUUGAGGCCCAGCAGGUAGGCCGACUUGUCGGCGUCUUGAAGGCCAGAAGAAGGUGGACGUGGGGUCAGGACACACUUAUGGAGGUCCAGACUCCACCCCACGUCCCACCUCCCAGGUCCCACCUUCGGUGCCGUCGGGCUCGGCCUGUUCCUCGCGCUGCUUCUGCUUGAACUUCAUGUUGCCCAGGUGCAUGAUGGCGCCCGUCAGCUUGUAGACCCCGGCCUUCUCCUCUGCCGUGAAGCCCAGCACGUCGAAGGCGCUCUGCGGGGUGGGGAGGGGUUUGGAGAAGACCCCGGAGUCCACCCCACCAGCUGGGGACCCAUCUCCAGGCCCAUCGGGCCACCCAUGGAUUCAUCCAUCCGUGGUUUCAUGGGUUGAAGGACCCAAGAACCAUCUAAGAACCAUCUCUGGGCUCAUCCAUCCAUGGUUUCAAGGGUUGAAGGACCUAACCGACCAUCUAAGAACCCAACCAACCAUCUAAGGACCCAUCUCUGGACUUCUCCAUCCAUGGUUUCAAGGGUUGAAGGACCCAACCAACCAUCUAAGGACCCAUCUGACCACCCAAGGACUCAUCCAUCCAUG
rnacentral:lncRNA from 1 species